rnacentral:rRNA from 1 species
GAUGAACGCUGGCGGUAUGCUUAACACAUGCAAGUCGAACGGACUCUUCGGAGUUAGUGGCGGACGGGUGAGUAACGCGUGAGAAUCUGGCUUUGGGUUCGGGACAACCACUGGAAACGGUGGCUAAUACCGGAUGUGCCGAGAGGUAAAAGAGAAAUUGCCUGAAGAUGAGCUCGCGUCUGAUUAGCUAGUUGGUGAGGUAAAGGCUCACCAAGGCAGCGAUCAGUAGCUGGUCUGAGAGGAUGACCAGCCACACUGGGACUGAGACACGGCCCAGACUACUACGGGAGGCAGCAGUGGAGAAUGUUCCGCAAUGGGCGAAAGCCUGGCGGAGCAAUACCGCGUGAGGGAAGAAGGCUCUUGGGUUGUAAACCUCUUUUCUUAGGGAAGAACAAAAUGACGGUACCUAAGGAAUCAGCAUCGGCUAACUCCGUG